rnacentral:misc_RNA from 1 species
GAUGAAGAACGCAGCAAAAUGCGAUACUUGGUGUGAAUUGCAGAAUCCCGUGAACCAUCGAGUUUUUGAACGCAAGUUGCGCCCGAAGCCUUUUGGCCGAGGGCACGUCUGCCUGGGCGUCACGCAUCGCGUCGCCCCCCACAAUUCUCCGUAAAGGGAACGUGUGUUUUGGGGGCGGAUAUUGGUCUCCCGUGCUCAUGGCGUGGUUGGCCGGAAUAGGAGUCCUUUCGAUGGACGCACGAACUAGUGGUGGUCGUAAAAACCCUCGUCUUUUGUUUCGUGCUGUUGCUCGCAAGGUAAACUCUUUAAAAACCCCAAUGUGUCGUCUCUUGACGACGCUUCGACCGCGACCCCAGGUCAGGCGGGACUACCCGCUGAGUUUAAGCAUAUCAAUAAGCGGAGGA